CCCUUAGAUGUUCUGGGCUGCACGCGCGCUACACUGAAGCGUUCAACGAGUAUUUCACCUUGCCCGGGAGGGUUGGGUAAUCUUUUUAAAACGCUUCGUGAUGGGGAUAGAUUAUUGCAAUUAUUAAUCUCCAACGAGGAAUUCCUAGUAAACGCAAGUCAUCAGCUUGCAUUGAUUACGUCCCUGCCCUUUGUACACACCGCCCGUCGCACCUACCGAUUGAAUGGUCCGGUGAAAUCUUCGGAUUGAGACUUUGAUUUGUUUACUCAAAACGCUGUUUCAAGAAGUUGAUUAAACCUUACCAUUUAGAGGAAGGUGAAGUCGUAACA
rnacentral:rRNA from 1 species